UACGGGGGGGGCAAGCGUUGUUCGGAAUUACUGGGCGUAAAGGGCUCGUAGGUGGCCAACUAAGUCAGACGUGAAAUCCCUCGGCUUAACCGGGGAACUGCGUCUGAUACUGGAUGGCUUGAGUUUGGGAGAGGGACGCGGAAUUCCAGGUGUAGCGGUGAAAUGCGUAGAUAUCUGGAGGAACACCGGUGGCGAAGGCGGCAUCCUGGACCGACAUUGACGCUGAGGAGCGAAAGCUAGGGGAGCAAACGGG
rnacentral:rRNA from 1 species